UCAUGAGAGCUGUCUGUACCCGAAGUCAUCUUAGCCAACCUGAAAAGGAGGCGGAUGCCUAAGGUAUGUAUGGUGAUUGGGAUG
rnacentral:rRNA from 1 species